UGGGGAAUAUUGCACAAUGGGCGCAAGCCUGAUGCAGCCAUGCCGCGUGUAUGAAGAAGGCCUUCGGGUUGUAAAGUACUUUCAGCGAGGAGGAAGGCGUUGUGGUUAAUAACCGCAACGAUUGACGUUACUCGCAGAAGAAGCACCGGCUAACUCCGUGCCAGCAGCCGCGGUAAUACGGAGGGUGCAAGCGUUAAUCGGAAUUACUGGGCGUAAAGCGCACGCAGGCGGUCUGUCAAGUCGGAUGUGAAAUCCCCGGGCUCAACCUGGGAACUGCAUCGGAAACUGGCAGGGUAGAGUCUUGUAGAGGGGGGGAGAAUUCCAGGUGUAGCGGUGAAAUGCGUAGAGAUCUGGAGGAAUACCGGUGGCGAAGGCGGCCCCCUGGACAAAGACUGACGCUCAGGUGCGAAAGCGUGGGGAGCAAACA
rnacentral:rRNA from 1 species